GUGGGAGGGGGCUUGCUCCCGAUGGCGGUGUGGCAGUCAAUACAUUUGUCACUGACCCAUCGCUAUCGGGAGCAAGCCCCCUCCCAC
rnacentral:misc_RNA from 1 species